GACGAACGCUGGCGGCGUGCUUAACACAUGCAAGUCGAACGGAAAGGCCCUGCUUUUGUGGGGUGCUCGAGUGGCGAACGGGUGAGUAACACGUGAGUAACCUGCCCUUGACUUUGGGAUAACUUCAGGAAACUGGGGCUAAUACCGGAUAGGAGCUCCUGCUGCAUGGUGGGGGUUGGAAAGUUUCGGCGGUUGGGGAUGGACUCGCGGCUUUCAGCUUGUUGGUGGGGUAGUGGCUUACCAAGGCUUUGACGGGUAGCCGGCCUGAGAGGGUGACCGGCCACAUUGGGACUGAGAUACGGCCCAGACUCCUACGGGAGGCAGCAGUGGGGAAUAUUGCACAAUGGGCGGAAGCCUGAUGCAGCAACGCCGCGUGCGGGAUGACGGCCUUCGGGUUGUAAACCGCUUUCGCCUGUGACGAAGCGUGAGUGACGGUAAUGGGUAAAGAAGCACCAGCUAACUACGUG
rnacentral:rRNA from 1 species